UAUUUUUGUAUAUUUACCAACUUACAUGUGAUGAUCAAGGACAAAUAGAAGGACUAAUUGUCCUAAACCUACAAAAAAGACCUCGGAUAAUGUCUCGGCCGGCGGCUAACCGAGGUCACUUUGAUGCUCAAGUCAGCGAUAGCUAACAAGAAAAUAAAUAUACAAAAAUUUAAUAUAUUGUUCCACACCUUAGUCUUGGGAAGUGUUGAGAUUUAUAGUUGAGAGUUUAAUUUGGGCCAAGGCAUCCUAUUUGGGAGGUCCAUCUAAUCAAGUCCGAUAGUCAAUCGUGUUGGUUCUCGCAAAACCAAACAAGUGCAAAAAAAUCAAAACACCUUAUAUAAAAAUAUAAAACAAAGUCAAAGUAUUACAUAAGGUACUCGCAUUUGUAUGUUUAGUAAAUCGUACCUUCUUGCGUGACGAUAUAACUUCAACUAAAAAAACAUUAAAUCCACCAAGAUGAUACCAACACCUACAAAAGAGGACCCGGUUAAUGCCUCGUGACAUGUCGGGGGCACUCCGAAUUCAAGUUAAUUGUAGCCUACGAGAAUAUAUAUAGAGAAAAUGUAUCUCACGAUUAUAUACCUUAACCCUUGGUGGUGUGGAUCUCUAUAUAAGAGGGCUUUACUCAGGGCCACAAUUUACGUGGUC
rnacentral:lncRNA from 1 species